UGAAAGUGAAAGUAUGAAGUCAGACUUGUCAGAGUGCCAAACGCCAUUUUACAGCUCGACGGAGCAGGAGGACAACAGGCAGGGGGAGACACCUCAUAAUGAACACGUGGUGAUCAGAGAUCUGACCCUAACAUACCAGCAGACUGGGGAAGAUGGGUGGUUUAGAAGAUGAGGAAGAGGACACAUCUUCAGUCCCCAGCUGUCUGUCUCUGAAGAGUGACUGGUCUAAAGAUCAACCUCCAUACUUCAGUAAUGAACCUGGACCCUCAGACACAAAGUAAGAGUUUCUGCUGUAACCUGACCUGAAAAGGAUCCAGUUUUUAUGUUAUCUGAU